ACCUGAUACUCCUACAGAGUCCUCAGAAUGAAAAGGCUGCUCUCUGAACAAUGAAACUCACAGGGAGAAGAGGAAUUUAAUCCUAACACUUCAGCCUUGCAAGCUGCUCAGGGCACGGACCCAGGAGAGUCGGCGCAUGUGUGAGUGCAGACAGGCUCUCGUCUUGCGCAGCGGAGACUGGCAGUCAUCUAUGGAAUGACCGUGUGCAUGGGAUUUUAAUACAUCUGAGAAGAAUUCAGGAGGUAAAAUUAAACAUCCCACUUAAAGCAACUGGUUCAAAUAGUGGAAUUUGUUAAACCACACAAAACAGGAUGAAAAAUACUCAUGUCGGUCUGAAUUUUGACUCCUUGUGUGGCUCUGAUGGCCUUCUUCAAUGAUGCGUCAUUCUCCAUCCUGUGUUCUCCAGGAGCUGUUUGGUUCUCUUGCUAACCGCCUCCGCUACAUCCCAGCAUGUGAGAUCCUAUAUCCCUGGUGCAUCUUGAGUCCUAGAGAGUGAGUGUGAGGAUUGUGUCCAGGCCUCUGCCUUCAAGACACCUGUAACUGAUACAAAAACCGGAUUAGAGCACCAUGAACCACAUAGUGUAAUUAGAAAUAAAGAGAAAGCUGUAAACAAUAACAUAGAAAAAUUCAAAGGAGAAACUGACAGAACCCUUUGAUGUGAGUUUCUGCAAUAACCCUGAAUCCAUUCCACAAAGACACUUCUUUGAUGAGGUUUAAGAAAUGCGAUAAUCUAUGGAACAGAGACAGGAUGCCCGCCGGUACCCGGGCUGCUCAGGACUCCUAGAUCAUCUCUUUCGGCCUCUCUAGUUUUCUACUACAGACUUAAACCAGCACACCCUGGUCUACUUUCAGGAUGUAGCUCUGUGUGGAGCUGGCUAGCCUUCUCAACGUUAUUAAGUGGACUGUUCUGUUGCUGGAGAGCUUCUCUCCAGGUCCCACCAAGCCCCUGGGAAGUUAGUCACUGGACGAAGCUCUCUGAGGACAACUGGGGUAGUUACCAAUCUGAUUAGAGAAGAUGGCCAGUACGGGCUACUUACCCACUAUCGCCAGGAGUCUUAGCUGGGUCUCCUUGUAGAUUUCUGGGACUUCCCCUUGCACCAGAUUUGUCCCUGACCUCCAAAUGCCCCUCCCCCACCCCCAUAGGAGCUCACAGACUCUGGACUGUGAGGAGAGCUCACAGGCUAGGGAGCCUGCAUGGGAUGGACCUAGGCCCUCUGCAUGUGUGUGACAGUUGUGUAGCUUGACCUGCUUGUGGGACUGCUAGUGAUGGGAGCAGGGCCUGUCCCUAACUAAUGCUUUGGCUGACUUCCAGGAACCUACUCCUCAUACUGGGUUGUCUUGCCCAGCCUUCAUACAAGGGGAGGAGCUUAGUCCUACCUCAACCUGUUAUAACAACCAGGCUUUGUUGAUACCGAUGAGAGGCCUGCCUCUUUCUGAACAGAA